GGCGAAAGUCAUCAGUGAGCUGUGUGGAAUAGAGAGCACAUCUUUGCUGAAGGUGAAAGAUUACUGCAGAAUUUCCCCUCAUCUAAAUGAAGCGGGACAGAAUGGAGUGAAGAGGAGCAGAAGCUGAUUGAAGAAAGAGUGCUUGUGUUACUGCGUGAGACUCAGAACUGAAAAACAGCAAAGCUGCACUCAUGUCAGUGCGGGACUGCGACUAACGUCUCCUCUGAGGACUUGGAUGAUGAAAUGUCUGGCCUAGAUCUACAAAACACCCAGAUGUGCCAUCCCAGGCUGGGACAAAAAGGUUAUGAAUGAAACAUGAUAAGAGCAAACAGAACAACUGUCUGGAACAAACUCUUUCAAAGAACCAAACUUGGAAACUGUUGGAUGAAGGAUGUUAAUCUCACCUGAAGACAAGGAGACAGAUCUUUGAAGGAGCAUUGCUGCAUUCAGCCAAGCUUUAAUAAAUGGUCUUUUCAUAUUUAUCAUCAAACCCGCAACCGGGAAAUCCAUCAUGUCUUGCUCAGACUUCAGUCGCACAUGCCUCCCUCUACCUGAUUCGGUCUUUUGCUGUGAGGUCACUGACUCCCGUCUCUUGUUCUUCUUCUUUUCGUUGAAAGCUCUGGUAUGCUCUUAAUUGACUCCAGUCCAUCAGAAAGGGGGGGCGGCGAGGCCAGUGGACACACAAGUGUGCAAAAUAUCACAGGAGGUAAUUGACAUGCGCAGACUGGGUGACCUCCUGUGGAGAAAAGUGACAGGGGUUACCGCUGUACUUGAAAAGUGGGAC
ensembl:lncRNA